rnacentral:rRNA from 1 species
UAAGCAUAUAAGUAAGCGGAGGAAAAGAAACUAAAUAGGAUUCCCUCAGUAAUGGCGAAUGAACAGGGAUGAGCUCAGCAUGGAAAUUGGGGCCUGUGGCCUUGAAUUGUAGUCUGGAGAUGUACCACCAACUGGGGCGCAGAUGUAAGCCUCUUGGAAAAGAGCAUCAAUGAGGGUGAGAGUCCCGCUUGGCAUCUGCAGUCCCCAGUGCACGGUGUACCUUCUAAGAGUCACGUUCCUCGGGAUUGGAGCGCAAAUCGGGUGGUAAGUUUCAUCUAAAGCUAAAUAUAGUUUCGAGACCGAUAGCAAACAAGUACCAUGAGGGAAAGGUGAAAAGGACUUUGAAAAGAGAGUUAAAAGUGCCUGAAAUUGCUGAAAGGGAAGCGAAUGGAAUCAGCGUAACUUGGCGAGAUUGCUGCGCGUCAAUGUGAUUGCUUGCUGCUUCAACGUAAGUGUGGUAGUAAGUCUUGAGCAGGACAUGCGCGGUGCUUCUUGCCUUGUGUGUCACCGUCAGUUCGCAGCUGGGGAAAACUUCAAGGACAUGGUAGCCUGCCUCCGGGUGGGUGAAUGUGCUUGCUGGAACUCAUGUGUGGACUGCUUGGUGACUAAAUGGUUCCAUCUGACCCGUCUUGAAA